rnacentral:rRNA from 1 species
UACGUAGGGGGCAAGCGUUGUGCCGGAAUUUAUUGGGCGUAAAGGAAGCGUGUAGGCGGUCAGGGUAAGGUCCGUUUGUGAAAAACUCGAGGCUCAAACCUCGAGACGCCGAUGGAAACCAUCUGAACUAGAGUCCGGAAGAGGAGAGUGGAAUUCCUGGUGUAAGCGGUGAAAUGCGCAGAUAUCAGGAAGAACCACCCGGUGGCUAAGGCGGCUCUCUAGUACGGUACUGGACGCUGAGACGGCGAAAGCGUGGGGAGCGAACAGG